rnacentral:lncRNA from 1 species
GUUAGACUAUCUUCACCAAAUUUAGUGUCUUUUUAAGCGACCAUUUUUUUGUCUCCAUAAAAUGAAACAAAUAUGCAACUAAAGAAUUACGAGUUCAGAAUAAAAUGAAACUGUUUUGAAAACGAAGGGGUUGGUGCUUUUAUGAUUCUUCUUAUAGAUGCAAAUAUAAUUAAUAUGUAAAACAUGAACUUAACCAAAAAAGAGAAGAUGUUUAAUGGCUCUAUUAAGGGUAUUGGGACAGAAGGUGUUUGUGCUGUUUGUCAUUAAAAAAGCCAUGG